rnacentral:rRNA from 1 species
GUCUACAACCAUGCUACCGUGAACAAACCCAAUCUCGUCUGAUCUCAGAAGCUAAGCAGGGUCAGGCCUGGUUAGUACUUUGAUGGGAGACCACCUAGGAAGACCAGGUGCUGUAGGUG